rnacentral:rRNA from 1 species
ACAUCCAGCGAACUUGGCAGAGAUGCCUUGGUGCCUUCGGGAACGCUGAGACAGGUGCUGCAUGGCUGUCGUCAGCUCGUGUUGUGAAAUGUUGGGUUAAGUCCCGNAACGAGCGCAACCCUUUAUCCUUUGUUGCCAGCGAUUCGGUCGGGAACUCAAAGGAGACUGCCGGUGAUAAACCGGAGGAAGGUGGGGAUGACGUCAAGUCAUCAUGGCCCUUACGAGUAGGGCUACACACGUGCUACAAUGGCGCAUACAAAGAGAAGCGACCUCGCGAGAGCAAGCGGACCUCAUAAAGUGCGUCGUAGUCCGGAUCGGAGUCUGCAACUCGACUCCGUGAAGUCGGAAUCGCUAGUAAUCGUGGAUCAGAAUGCCACGGUGAAUACGUUCCCGGGCCUUGUACACACCGCCCGUCACACCAUGGGAGUGGGUUGCAAAAGAAGUAGGUAGCUUAACCCUCGGGAGGGCGCUUACCACUUUGUGAUUCAUGACUGGGGUGAAGUCGUAACAAGGUAAGCGUAGUGCU